GUGGGGAAUAUUGGACAAUGGGCGAAAGCCUGAUCCAGCCAUGCCGCGUGUGUGAAGAAGGUCUUCGGAUUGUAAAGCACUUUAAGUUGGGAGGAAGGGCAGUAAGUUAAUACCUUGCUGUUUUGACGUUACCGACAGAAUAAGCACCGGCUAACUUCGUGCCAGCAGCCGCGGUAAUACGAAGGGUGCAAGCGUUAAUCGGAAUUACUGGGCGUAAAGCGCGCGUAGGUGGUUUUGUAAGUUGGAGGUGAAAUCCCCGGGCUCAACCUGGGAACAGCCACCAAAACUGCAUGACUAGAGUACGGUAGAGGGUAGUAGAAUUUCCUGUGUAGCGGUGAAAUGCGUAUAUAUAGGAAGGAACACCAGUGGCGAAGGCGACUACCUGGACUGAUACUGACACUGAGGUGCGAAAGCGUGGGGAGCAAACAGGAUUAGAAACCCUAGUAGUCC
rnacentral:rRNA from 1 species